GACGAACGCUGGCGGCGUGCCUAAUACAUGCAAGUCGAGCGGGGAUUAUGCUUGAUCGCUUCGGUGAGACGGCAUAUAUCCUAGCGGCGGACGGGUGAGUAACGCGUGGGUAAUCUACCUCGUAGUUCGGGAUAACAGGCCGAAAGGCUUGCUAAUACCGGAUGAGUUCAUGCUUAUGCAUAUAGGCAUGAAGAAAGGGCUAGCCCGCUAUGAGAUGAGCCCGCGUCCCAUUAGCUUGUUGGUGGGGUAAUGGCCUACCAAGGCAACGAUGGGUAGCCGGCCUGAGAGGGUGUACGGCCACACUGGGACUGAGACACGGCCCAGACUCCUACGGGGGGCAGCAGUAGGGAAUUUUCGGCAAUGGGCGAAAGACCUGACCGAGCGACGCCGCGUGAGGGACGAAGGCCUCGGUUGUAACGUACUGUCUGGGGAGGUGAGAGGAACGGUACCCCGGAACCGGAACGGACCCGGCCGUAACUACGUACGCCAGCAGCCGCGGUAAGUGAGUAGUAACA
rnacentral:rRNA from 1 species